GUCAGCACCCCGCACUAAAGUGACGGGGCUUCAUGCCCCACCAUUUUAGUUAGUUGCACCAGACUAUCAGCCUUAAACAAGCUGGGUUCACAUUAAGUGUUAAAGUUCUCACCUUGGGAUGCGUUGCUAGUUCCAAGCUCUGAA
rnacentral:sRNA from 18 species